UUUCAUGGUAUCGAAGAGAGAUUUUGUACCAAAAGUGAGCUGAUGCAGUAUUCAUAAUAUACCAGUGAUGAGCCAUGUUCUGCUGAGCAACCUUGCUGAAGCUGGCAGACCCUCAGCUCACUAUCACGCUUGCUCACUGGCAAAUACUGGCAUUAACAACGGAGAAGUUUUCUAAUCUGCAUUGUGUCUGAAGGAAAUGAGAAGCAGAAUUUCUCCUUCCUCCAAAGCCCUGUUAAUUUUAAUCCUUUUGCAUGGAGUUGGAUUCGUGCUGCAGCCAGGUGAGUUGGUUUAUUUUACAGUUAUUUGAGUCUUGUAAUGUCCUCCAGUCUACUUUUUUUUUCUUUAGUCUACAAAUUUUUGAGAAUUUUAGAGCUGU
ensembl:lncRNA